AGUUGCUUUAGACAAGAUAUAUUAGAGUGUGUACCUUGCGGGCAGUGAGCAGUGAGCAAUCAGGUAUAAAAGCCUGAAAGGCCAGGUGCAUCGCAUCGCAGUCGGGCGAUUGGAAGCGAAGGAAGCGCAACCACAACAUGUCUCGCGUUCUAUUCGUUUUGGUUGUUUUGUCGGUUGUGGCGUGUAGCGCUGCCCAGCAGAAUGUUCCAGUCGUGCCAUCGGAAGCUGCUGAUGCCGCAGUUCCAGUCAAUCCAGCAUUAGUGGCUGGUGAUGCACGACCCAAACGUCAAUUCGGACUCGGCUUUUUGCUCGGAUCCGCUCUCGGUGGUGGUUACGGCUAUGGCUAUCCCUACGGCGGAUAUGGUUACAACCAUGGCUAUGGCCAUGGCCAUUAUCAUCAUCGUUAUCCCGGUUACCCAAGACCUUACAGAUACGGCGGAAGCUAUUACGGUUAUGGACGGUAAACGAUUCACUGAUUGCUGCAGCACCGUUCUAAUGAUGAUAGUAUGUCGACCUUAAAUUAUAAUCCGACUCGAAGGAAAAUUGUUUCUCUUUACACGAGCUUGGGAACGAAAUCGCUUCACAUCUUAACUAUUUUUCUCAUUUUUUGCAUUUAUCUAUUUUUACUGAUUUUCUUUUGACGUUUAAUCGAUGCGUUUUGCCAGGAUUUUUUGAAUAAUACAUUGUUAUCAUUUGAUUCGGUGUUCUGUUAAAAAUGGCUUUCGUUUCCUUAUUCAGCUUCGUUUGGCCUGCUGUCUGGAUGUCGUUUGAAGUUCAAGGUCUGCCCUCUCGUGGGUUGUCACUGGUUGUUGUUACGUAAUCGAACGUUGUUUGCUAGUUCUUCAAUUUUCCUUUCAUAACCCCAGGUGAUUUUUGUUCGCCCAUCCCUUCUUCCUGAGCCAUUACCACGCAGUUGGAGGCAGAGUGUAUGUUACAUAGGUCAGUCGGCCGUAGUAUACGUCCCUCUGCAUGUUGUCAUGCAGACGAACUUUCCUCUUUUUGCGUAAACGAAGCAAACCGAGUUCAUUUUCCAAAUGCAGAUAUGUAUACUUGUAUAGUCUUUGCCAUUGUUGAUGCCUUUUCGGUGUAAUCACAUGGAACCUUCAGAAACAAUUGAGGAUCAGCAUCCAGUUCGUGAAUCGGUAGCAGAAGCAAUGGUGACUAUGGCCAAACUAUAGCAGAAGGAUUCUUGCUGCACAACGCUAUGUGUCAAUGUUUUGUCUACAUGGUUAUCUAUGAAAUCGUUUCCGGAUGCAUGAAAUCACACCAAUUCCUCAGCUCCACUCUAUUUUAUUAUUGGCACUCCUGUGUUUCUAAAAGUAUUUAGGCAGUCAACAGUGACUUCCGGAGCCUAUCUAUGUCUAUAAUGAGACCGGUUAUAUGUAUUAUUUGUUGCAUCAUCUGAAAAAUGUUUGUUGCAAUUUCUUGCAUGCUGCCCAUAUUGCCAUAGUUGUCUUGAUAACGAUUUUAUCCUUGUUUCGGUACUCUGCUGCUUUCUACUUCCUACGCAUAUAGAAAUGUGUUAUAAAGAUCAGCCUAUGGAUGCCCAGUUCGGCAGUAAGCCUUCACCCUCGUAACCCGGCACGUCAAUCUCGAAAGCGCUCCAACGAUGGUUCGUAAUACUUCAGAGUUUAAGUGGCGAGUGAUGGUUUUGUUGCUGGCCUUUCAGGCGUUGGCCGUUUUGGACAUUGAACGUUGUCCUGUCGUUGACGCUACGUUUUACAAGCGCGUUUAUAAAAUCAGGCGUCCGUACGGUUAUGGAAGUCGACCCGUGAACGAACUUUAUGGAAACCAACAGGGUUUUGUCAUCCGUCCUACGCGUCCCGACGAAGAGUACCAGUAUGGACCUGACGAAAUACCUUAUAUUUAUUACAGUUAAUUAAAAAGGUAAUCAUUAAAGUAUGCGUACGUACCAGGAAGCUUUAUGAUCCAAAACCAUUUUCUGCAACCACUUCGUUUAAAGGAAUUGGUGUUGGCUAUCUAAUCAUUCACAUAUUCACUCGUUCGUCAUUUAUUUUUACUCAUAUUUACGAAACAUUGGUUUAAUACGUACAGUAUGUAGCCAACCAAUAUCCAUACACGUCAAUUUUAUUAUAAA